GACGAACGCUGGCGGCGUGCCUAAUACAUGCAAGUAGAACGCACAGUUUAUACCGUAGCUUGCUACACCAUAGACUGUGAGUUGCGAACGGGUGAGUAACGCGUAGGUAACCUGCCUGGUAGCGGGGGGUAACUAUUGGAGACGAUAGCUAAUACCGCAUAAUAUUGAUUAUUGCAUGAUAAUUGAUUGAAAGAUGCUAUUGCAUCACUACCAGAUGGACCUGCGUUGUAUUAGCUAGUAGGCGAGGUAACGGCUCACCUAGGCGACGAUACAUAGCCGACCUGAGAGGGUGAUCGGCCACACUGAGACUGAGACACGGCCCAGACUCCUACGGGAGGCAGCAGUAGGGAAUCUUCGGCAAUGGACGAAAGUCUGACCGAGCAACGCCGCGUGAGUGAAGAAGGUUUUCGGAUCGUAAAGCUCUGUUGUAAGAGAAGAACGGGUGUGAGAGUGGAAAGUUCACACUGUGACGGUAUCUUACCAGAAAGGGACGGCUAACUACGUG
rnacentral:rRNA from 1 species